CCCAAGUCCCUUUCGGGAUCUUCCACUGCCGCUGCCUGAGGAGGAAGCUGCUUCGGACUCGGUGGCGCCUGAUGUGGCCUCUGAUAUCGACUGGGAGGUGGAAGAGAAAUUUGGGGAACGCAUCGAGAACCCUGGAAAAGCAACCUUCUCAGGGGGCGGUUCUCUGUGCCCGCGUGAACCUUCACAGUUGGAUGGAAGUGAUGAAACAGAGUUUUCAUAACUGGCCUGUUACAGAACCAGGGCCCGGGGCCAUCUAUUUCAUUUCCUUCUGUGUCUCCAGCUCAGGCCCCAGGCGGAGCUUAAACAAUCCCUUUUCUGUCCUCCAAACUGGACUCUAGCACAGGAGGAAGUUGUACUCUGAAGGUCCUUUGUCUGCCUGAAGUCUGGAUCCACCAAAAAAGAAAACAGUUACCUCUGGUCCCUUCCUCAAGUUUUCAUUAACUGAACUCAUUGCAAGAAGAAAGACAACUUGGUCCACACACAUGGAUAGACUUUCGUCACAAACCACUGUUUGCUCAUUGGGUCCAACAGAGUUUGUCCCAGGCCGUUGUAUAUUUCAAUUCCAUUGACUUCCCCUGAAGAUCAUUUACUACCUUCCUAAAUCAUCCACGUUUCCCCAUCUCCCUUUCACUCAAGAAGAGGAUAUGAGACCUUCAGGAAGACCUCCUGACAGUCUUACCGGAUGCUCUUGUAACAAGAUUCUCUACCCCACUGUGUGGUGAAGAAAUCGCUCUGUGAUUUUCCCCCAUGCACAUUAAUAAAUUUUGUCCGGCAUUUCUCCUAUUAA